AAGACAUUAGUAAAAUAAUAACAUAACUUUGUCAAAGUUAAUUUAUAGGUUAGAAUCCUUUAUGUCUUA
rnacentral:tRNA from 3 species